AGAGUUUGAUCCUGGCUCAGAUUGAACGCUGGCGGCAGGCCUAACACAUGCAAGUCGAACGGUAACAGGAAACAGCUUGCUGUUUCGCUGACGAGUGGCGGACGGGUGAGUAAUGUCUGGGAAACUGCCUGAUGGAGGGGGAUAACUACUGGAAACGGUAGCUAAUACCGCAUAACGUCGCAAGACCAAAGAGGGGGACCUUCGGGCCUCUUGCCAUCGGAUGUGCCCAGAUGGGAUUAGCUAGUAGGUGGGGUAACGGCUCACCUAGGCGACGAUCCCUAGCUGGUCUGAGAGGAUGACCAGCCACACUGGAACUGAGACACGGUCCAGACUCCUACGGGAGGCAGCAGUGGGGAAUAUUGCACAAUGGGCGCAAGCCUGAUGCAGCCAUGCCGCGUGUAUGAAGAAGGCCUUCGGGUUGUAAAGUACUUUCAGCGGGGAGGAAGGGAGUAAAGUUAA
rnacentral:rRNA from 1 species